AAAGGGCACAAAAAUUAACUGCUGAGAAUGGGUAUCAACGAGAUCAAGUGGAAUGAAAUCAAAUCACCAAUUUCUCAUUUGUUUUGGUGAUUGAAAUUCAUCUUCUCAAAAUUGAAAGUAAGGAAAGCGAGAUUCACUUCAUCCUUCCCCCACUGCGUCUUCGAUCUUGCAGCACCGGCGGCGCCGCUGGAGCUAGCGGAAGGCAAGGCCACGCUGAAGCCACAGCAGCAGCGAGCGGCGCUGAAGACGACGAAGAGGAAGCCGGCUUCAGCAGCGGCCAGAGAUAGCUCGAGUAGAAGCGGCGGAAUCCGCUGAGGGCCGAGACGACCAGCACGCGCUCCUCUCUCUAUCUCUCGUUCCCAACGAUCACCGAUCUCUCUCUCUCACUACUUCUCUCCGGCGAUCUCA
rnacentral:lncRNA from 1 species